GGGUGUUACUGUUGCUCACUGAACUUCCUAGUGGUCAUUUGAUUUGCCUGGCCGCUAUGCAGCCGAGGUGGGACUGCAGUUGCUAAGCUCUCAACUGGCAGCUUUAAACCAACCUUGCUCCAGGCCACUUUGUGAUGUCAUGCUGGGGACAGAGCUCUGCCAAUAACCGCAUCGUGUGACGCCAUCAAUAUACCAGGAAGGAAGUGCUAGGAUCCUGCACCCAUGAUGACUUGGGGACCAUAAGCUACUAGAGGGAGGGGCUGGCAGGAAUUUCUGUCUUCAGGACCAUGACGAUAACAACAACAGUGACAACAGCAAAUAUGUACAAAUCACUGAGCAUGAACCAGGUACCACAUAUAUUAUGCACUUAUCCUUAUCAAAUAUUUAUACUAGUAAUGUUUAUUUGCAUUAAAACCAAGGCACAGAGAAAUAAAGAGAUCAUUUAAGACUACACAGCCCACCAGCAGUACACCUAGGAUUCAAACUCAUUUGAUACUCAGUAUUUGUUGCAGAAUUCUAAGUCUGACCUUACAGGGGCCUCCCUAGGUACACAGCUCCCAGCUGUGGGCCUUUUUGGAUCUCUGUGCUUUGAUUGUGUUUGAUUUAUUUAAAAGCGACCCUAUCUUACAUCAAUCCGGGGUUAACUGGUGUGAGUGGUGAGCACUUCGACUUCCCAAAGAGCUCCCUGCCUGGGGAGGGCCCUGAUGAGUGGAGAAGAGGAACCAGACGGUUCCUUGUCUGGCUUUGGCAAAUGGCUUUAUGCUGAUUCCUUUCAAAGCAUCUUUUACUGACAGAGCAAUUUCUCAGCACC
rnacentral:lncRNA from 10 species